GGAGAUGUCCUACGGUAGGACGUCGGUCUUGAAAGCCGAAAGAGCGGGUUCAAUUCCCGCUCUCCA
rnacentral:tRNA from 1 species